GUUUGAUCCUGGCUCAGAUUGAACGCUGGCGGCAGGCCUAACACAUGCAAGUCGAGCGGAAACGAGUUAACUGACCCUUCGGGUGACGUUAACGGCGUCGAGCGGCGGACGGGUGAGUAAUGCCUGGGAAAUUGCCCUGAUGUGGGGGAUAACCAUUGGAAACGAUGGCUAAUACCGCAUAAUGCCUUCGGGCCAAAGAGGGGGACCUUCGGGCCUCUCGCGUCAGGAUAUGCCCAGGUGGGAUUAGCUAGUUGGUGAGGUAAUGGCUCACCAAGGCGACGAUCCCUAGCUGGUCUGAGAGGAUGAUCAGCCACACUGGAACUGAGACACGGUCCAGACUCCUACGGGAGGCAGCAGUGGGGAAUAUUGCACAAUGGGCGCAAGCCUGAUGCAGCCAUGCCGCGUGUGUGAAGAAGGCCUUCGGGUUGUAAAGCACUUUCA
rnacentral:rRNA from 1 species